rnacentral:tRNA from 1 species
GCCGGUGUGGCUCAGCGGAGAGAGCAUCAGCCUGCGGACUGAAGGGUCCCGGGUUCGAUUCCGGUCAAGGGCA